GACCUUUUCAUUAUCAAUAUACAGCCUCUGUUCAAAAUAGCAUCAUAUUCAAUACAUAGUGCACUAGGGGGCGCUGGUCAAAAUACGGUGCCGUUUGGGACACAGCCAUAAAUUCGUAAAAACACAGGCUAUGGGAUAUUAAUUGUGCAAAGCAGCACUAAACUACAACAUAUGUCGUGUGUACAAAUCUGUAAUUCAAGAAAAGAGCUAUGAGAAAAUAUUGAUGAGAAAGUUGCCAAAAUAUGAAAUGAAAACCACGUAUCACUUUUUUAAAUCAUAUAUGUUUUCUCUACAACACCUUUCUUUAUCACACCCCCGCCUGCCCAGCUAGUAUCUGAUCAGGGUUUUAUAUAUACAGGAAAUGACUCAGGACACACUGUACUCUGGAACUUAGUCAGUGGAAAUUACCUAUAUCUUUAAAUGGAUUAUUCUGAAGAUCUGAAGAUCUGUGUGUGUGUGUGUGUGUGUGUGUGCGGUCAUGCGUGACAAACUGGAGAGAUAUUAAAGGUAUAUUCAUAUUCAUAAUUUUGAGGAAAUUACUCAGAACUUAGUCAGUGGAAAUGACCUAUAUCUUAAAUAGCUUAUUCUGAAGAUGUGUGUGUGUGUGUGUGUGUAACCUGAUCUUGGGUGGUGUGUUCAAAGACGUGACUCCUGCUCCUCCUGCUCCUCCUGCUCCUCCUGUUCCUCCUGCUCCUCCUGCUCCACCUGCUCCUCCUGCUCCUCCUGCUCCUCCUGUCCUCUGGGCUGCUCUCCCCUCUCUCUGCCAGCAGCCCUCUCUACUGGGAUGCAGGGGCAACACCUCCACGCACCGCUAUCCAUCUCUCUGUUGACACCUGCUGACCUAAAGAGACAGCACCAGGAGACUACUGUUUACCGAAAGGAAUCUCAACACACACAUACACACAUACGCAGAAGCAAGCACAAAUGCACGCACGAAUGCACUCGCACACACACACACACACAUAUUAGAACACCAUUACAGUCCAUCUCCCAGCAAGUUCGUAUUCAACCUCUAUGCAUAAAUAUUUUGUUUAGCUGGCUCUUGACUUGCAGAGCAGAAACAUAGCGGUGGUGGUCAGCAGAUGAUGAUGAAAGCUGGCAGAGGAGAGGCUGGAACAGAGACACGUAUUGAUUAACGACGCACUGAUUAGCAUCAGAACGAUCUGUGAAUCAGAGUCGGUCAAAGUUAUGUCUGGUUCAUGUUGAAAAAAUGUAUGCCCUAACUGUAAGUUGCUCUGGAUAAGAGCGUCUGCUAAAUUACUAAAAUGUAAAAUGUAAUGUUCAGGUACCUGUUACGGUUAGAGAGAGGAGCUCACUCUCAGAGGAGAAGUUAUGAGAGAAAACAUCAUUCUUAUAAACACAGCUGUAGUUCCCUUGGUGGGAGUCAUCUGUAGCAGGGAAGAGGAAGGCAGCAGAGUGAUUGACAGCUGGCUGGGUCUGGGAUCUGUUGGAGCCGGUGAACGUGAGGAGGAAGGCGCCUCCUGGGUACUGUGGCUGAGUGGAGCAGGUGAUGGUGAAGCUGUGGCCCCUGAACACCUCGGGCCCCGGGUAGCCCCUGGAUACCCCUUCCGUUGAGACAUUCAGGGAGAUAUCAGGCUGGAGCAGGAGAUCCGUAGAAGAGGAUGGAACAUAUAAUGACUUUCCUAAUUUAGAUCUGAUAACAUCAUCAACGUGUAAGUAAGUAGAUGUAGGGCCUACAGCAUCCUGCGUCGGCAGGUUUCUUCUUCGUGGCCAAGAAGGAGGGGGGUCUACGUCCGUGCAUCGACUACAGAGGUCUCAAUUCCAUCACCACCAAGUACCGUUACUCCCUCCCAUUGGUGCCGACCGCCAUCGAACAGCUCCGCGAGGCCUGGUUUUUUAUUUAACUGGACCUGCGGAGUGCCAACAAGUUGAUCCGCAUCCGGGGAGGGGUAUGAAUGGAAAACGGCCUUCAGCAUGAUGUCUGGGUACUACGAGUACUUGGGGAUGCCUUAUGGUUUAGUUAAUGCUCCGUCUGUGUUCCAGGCAUUCGUCAACGAGGUGUUCCGGGACAUGCUUGGGAGUCAGGUGGUUGUGUAUUUCGACGACUUCCUGAUCUACUCAGCCACCUUGGAGGAUCGCCCACGUCCGGGUAGUCCUGGGAUGCCUCCUGGAGAACCAUCUGUAUGUCAAAGCGGAGAAGUGCCAGUUCAAUCAGGCCGCUGUCUUCUUCUUGGGAUACCGUAUCAGCCCACAGGGAGUGGUUAUGGAGGAGAGGAAGGUUGAGGCAGUCAGGUCAUGGCCAGUCCCAACCACCAUAAAAGGACUACAACGAUUUUUGGGGUUUGCCAACUUCUACCGCCGCUUCAUUAAAAACUUAAGCUCCAUCGCCUCUCCUCUCACCUCUCUCCUCAAGGGUGGCCCCCGUAAGUUGGUGUGGCGUCCUGCAGCCGAUGAGGCCUUCCGCCUACUGAAGGUGCGUUUCACAUCCGCCCCGUUGCUAAAACACCCAGAUCCUACGUUGCCCUUCAUGGUGGAGGUGGACGACUCAGAAGUGGGCGUGGGGCCUGUCUUGUGACAACGCCAAGGUAACCCACAAAAUAUUAUCCAUGUGCAUACUACUAAAAAAAAACUGUCUCCUGCAGAGAGGAACUAUAAUGUCGGCAACCGGGAGCUCCUGGCGGUGAAGUUGGCAUUAGAGGAGUGGAGACACUGGCUGUAGGGUGCCAAGGACCCAUUUCUCAUCCUCACCGACCAUCGGAACCUGGAGUACAUACGGACAGCGAGGCGACAGCACCCAAGCAAAGUGGGCCCUUUUCUUCACUAGAUUCAACUUCACCCUGUCAUACCACCCAGGUUCAAACAACAUCAAAGCCGAUGCCCUGUCCCGUCUCCACGAUUCGGGAGAGGUUCCUGUCCUGAGUGCGCCCAUCAUACCACCCCUCCGAAUCGUUACCCCCGUGCUUUGGGAAGUAGAUGCGGACAUCCGCCAGGCUCUGGAGAGGGAACUCGCGCCUACUAUCUGCCCUCCGGCGCGCACCUACGUUCCCACGGAGGUCGCUGAGGCACUGUUCCAGCAGGUCUUCCGACACUAUGGCCUUCCGGAGGACAUCGUCUCCGACCGUGGUCCCCAAUUCACAUCGCUGAUGGAGAGCCUUCAUGGAGAAGCUGGAAGUCACGGUCAGCCUCACAUCCGGGUACCAGCCUCAGACCAACGGGCAGGUAGAGAGGACUAACCAGGAGCUGGGGAGGUUCCUGAGGAGUCACUGCCAGGACCGGCAGGGGGAGUGGACCCGGUUCCUUCCCUUGGCGGAGUAAGCCCAGAACUCACUUUGUCACUCCUCCACCGGGCUGUCUCCCUUCCAAACUUUUUGCUACGUGGUGCACUAAUGAAUAGUGCAAAACAGCGAUGUCUCACAAACUCUAGUCUAGGCCUACUCCAUUUGAUUUGACAGAGAUAAGAACGAGGUAGGUUAUUAAUAUAUGUAGCCUAGUGAUAUGAAUUUUAACUUAAACCAAAUGGGACUAUAUGGGGGUGAAUGUUUAUUAGGCUACUUAAUGAUGCUAAUUUUGCUUUACUGAUGUUUCCAAAGACUUGUUUGCAGGAUUUCAACUAGGCCUACAGUAGCCUACUUCAAACCAAAUGUUUUUUGAAACUGCAAAUGUAUAUGACAUUGAUCAUGUAUUAUCUUGAGCAGUUAGUGUUGCAAUAUGCAUUUGUGUCCCAUACAAAAUACAAAAAAAUAUUGCAGUUUUGAAACUGCAGUAAAAGUGCAGUAACUGCAGUCGCCUGUGGUAUU